AACGAACGCUGGCGGCAGGCUUAACACAUGCAAGUCGAACGGGUGCAGCAAUGCAUCAGUGGCAGACGGGUGAGUAACACGUGGGAACCUUCCUAGGGGUACGGAACAACUCAGGGAAACUUGAGCUAAUACCGUAUACGUCCGUGAGGAGAAAGAUUUAUCGCCCUUAGACGGGCCAGCGUCGGAUUAGCUAGUUGGUGGGGUAAUGGCCUACCAAGGCGACGAUCCGUAGCUGAUCUUAGAGGAUGAUCAGCCACACUGGGACUGAGACACGGCCCAGACUCCUACGGGAGGCAGCAGUGGGGAAUCUUGGACAAUGGGCGCAAGCCUGAUCCAGCCAUGCCGCGUGAGUGAAGGAGGUCUUCGGAUUGUAAAGCUCUUUUGCCAGGGACGAUAAUGACGGUACCUGGAGAAUAAGCCCCGGCAAACUUCGUGCCAGCCGCCGCAGUAACAC
rnacentral:rRNA from 1 species